AUUGCCUCAGUAACGGCGAGUGAAGCGGCAAAAGCUCAAAUUUGAAAUCUGGCUCUUUCAGGGUCCGAGUUGUAAUUUGUAGAAGAUGCUUUGGGUGUGGCUCUGGUUUAAGUUCUUUGGAAUAUUACAUCAUAGAGGGUGAGAAUCCCGUAUGUGACCAGUCGCCGCGCCCGUGUAAAGCUCUUUCAACGAGUCGAGUUGUUUGGGAAUGCAGCUCAAAAUGGGAGGUAUAUUUCUUCUAAAGCUAAAUAUUGGCCAGAGACCGAUAGCGCACAAGUAGAGUGAUCGAAAGAUGAAAAGCACUUUGGAAAGAGAGUUAAACAGUACGUGAAAUUGUUGAAAGGGAAGCGCUUGCAACCAGACUUGCACGCAGUUGAUCAUCCGGUGUUCUCACCGGGGCACUCUGCUGCGUUCAGGCCAGCAUCGUUUUUGGUGGUUGGAUAAAGGCCUUGGGAAUGUAGCUUCUUUCGGGGAGUGUUAUAGCCCUUGGUGCAAUGCAGCCUACCGGGAACGAGGACCGCGCUUCGGCUAGGAUGCUGGCGUAAUGGUUGUAAGCGGCCCGUCUUGAAACACGGACCAAGGAGUCUAACAUCUAUGCGAGUGUUUGGGUGUCAAACCCAUACGCGUAAUGAAAGUGAACGGAGGUGAGAACCCUUAAGGGUGCAUCAUCGACCGGUCCUGAUGUCUUCGGAUGGAUCUGAGUAAGAGCAUAGCUGUUGGGACCCGAAAGAUGGUGAACUAUGCGUGAAUAGGGUGAAGCCAGAGGAAACUCUGGUGGAGGCUCGCAGCGGUUCUGACGUGCAAAUCGAUCGUCAAAUUUGCGCAUAGGGGCGAAAGACUUAUCGAACCAUCUAGUAGCUGGUUCCUGCCGA
rnacentral:rRNA from 1 species